rnacentral:tRNA from 1 species
GGAGGGGAGAGCUCAGCGGUAGAGCACGUGCUUAGCAAUGCAUGAGGUCCUGGGUUCACUCCCCAGUACCUCCA